GACAGGCUUAACACAUGCAAGUCGAGGGGCAGCAUGGUCUUAGCUUGCUAAGGCCGAUGGCGACCGGCGCACGGGUGAGUAACACGUAUCCAACCUGCCGUCUACUCUUGGACAGCCUUCUGAAAGGAAGAUUAAUACAAGAUGGCAUCAUGAGUCCGCAUGUUCACAUGAUUAAAGGUAUUCCGGUAGACGAUGGGGAUGCGUUCCAUUAGAUAGUAGGCGGGGUAACGGCCCACCUAGUCUUCGAUGGAUAGGGGUUCUGAGAGGAAGGUCCCCCACAUUGGAACUGAGACACGGUCCAAACUCCUACGGGAGGCAGCAGUGAGGAAUAUUGGUCAAUGGGCGAGAGCCUGAACCAGCCAAGUAGCGUGAAGGAUGACUGCCCUAUGGGUUGUAAACUUCUUUUAUAAAGGAAUAAAGUCGGGUAUGGAUACCCGUUUGCAUGUACUUUAUGAAUAAGGAUCGGCUAACUCCGUGCCAGCAGCCGCGGUAAUACGGAGGAUCCGAGCGUUAUCCGGAUUUAUUGGGUUUAAAGGGAGCGUAGAUGGAUGUUUAAGUCAGUUGUGAAAGUUUGCGGCUCAACCGUAAAAUUGCAGUUGAUACUGGAUAUCUUGAGUGCAGUUGAGGCAGGCGGAAUUCGUGGUGUAGCGGUGAAAUGCUUAGAUAUCACGAAGAACUCCGAUUGCGAAGGCAGCCUGCUAAGCUGCAACUGACAUUGAGGCUCGAAAGUGUGGGUAUCAAACAGGAUUAGAUACCCUGGUAGUCCACACGGUAAACGAUGAAUACUCGCUGUUUGCGAUAUACUGCAAAGCGGCCAAGCGAAAGCGUUAAGUAUUCCACCUGGGGAGUACGCCGGCAACGGUGAAACUCAAAGGAAUUGACGGGGGCCCGCACAAGCGGAGGAACAUGUGGUUUAAUUCGAUGAUACGCGAGGAACCUUACCCGGGCUUAAAUUGCAGAUGAAUUACGGUGAAAGCCGUAAGCCGCAAGGCAUCUGUGAAGGUGCUGCAUGGUUGUCGUCAGCUCGUGCCGUGAGGUGUCGGCUUAAGUGCCAUAACGAGCGCAACCCUUGUUGUCAGUUACUAACAGGUUCCGCUGAGGACUCUGACAAGACUGCCAUCGUAAGAUGUGAGGAAGGUGGGGAUGACGUCAAAUCAGCACGGCCCUUACGUCCGGGGCUACACACGUGUUACAAUGGGGGGUACAGAGGGCCGCUACCACGCGAGUGGAUGCCAAUCCCCAAAACCUCUCUCAGUUCGGACUGGAGUCUGCAACCCGACUCCACGAAGCUGGAUUCGCUAGUAAUCGCGCAUCAGCCACGGCGCGGUGAAUACGUUCCCGGGCCUUGUACACACCGCCCGUCAAGCCAUGGGAGCCGGGGGUACCUGAAGUGCGUAACAACGAGGAGCGCCCUAGGGUAAAACUGGUGACUGGGGCCA
rnacentral:rRNA from 1 species